rnacentral:rRNA from 1 species
UACGUAGGGUGCGAGCGUUGUCCGGAAUUAUUGGGCGUAAAGAGCUCGUAGGCGGUGUGUCACGUCGGCCGUGAAAACCUGCAGCUUAACUGUGGGCGUGCGGUCGAUACGGGCAUCACUGGAGUUCGGCAGGGGAGACUGGAAUUCCUGGUGUAGCGGUGAAAUGCGCAGAUAUCAGGAGGAACACCGGUGGCGAAGGCGGGUCUCUGGGCAGUAACUGACGCUGGAGGAG